ACGAACGCUGGCGGCGUGCUUCACACCUGCAAGUCGCACGGAAAGGCCCUGCUUUUGUGGGGUGCUCGAGUGGCGAACGGGUGAGUAACACGUGAGUAACCUGCCCUUGACUUUGGGAUAACUUCAGGAAACUGGGGCUAAUACCGGAUAGGAGCUCCUGCUGCAUGGUGGGGGUUGGAAAGUUUCGGCGGUUGGGGAUGGACUCGCGGCUUAUCAGCUUGUUGGUGGGGUAGUGGCUUACCAAGGCUUUGACGGGUAGCCGUCCUGAGAGGGUGACCGGCCACAUUGGGACUGAGAUACGGCCCAGACUCCUACGGGAGGCAGCAGUGGGGAAUAUUGCACAAUGGGCGGAAGCCUGAUGCAGCAACGCCGCGUGCGGGAUGACGGCCUUCGGGUUGUAAACCGCUUUCGCCUGUGACGAAGCGUGAGUGACGGUAAUGGGUAAAGAAGCACCGGCUAACUACGUG
rnacentral:rRNA from 1 species